UACGUAGGGUGCGAGCGUUAAUCGGAAUUACUGGGCGUAAAGCGUGCGCAGGCGGUCUUGCAAGACAGUGGUGAAAUCCCCGGGCUCAACCUGGGAACUGCCAUUGUGACUGCAAGGCUGGAGUACGGCAGAGGGGGGUGGAAUUCCGCGUGUAGCAGUGAAAUGCGUAGAUAUGCGGAGGAACACCGAUGGCGAAGGCAGCCCCCUGGGCCUGUACUGACGCUCAUGCACGAAAGCGUGGGGAGCAAACAGGAUUAGAUACCCUGGUAGUCCACGCCCUAAACGAUGUCAACUGGUUGUUGGGGAUUCAUUUCUUCAGUAACGAAGCUAACGCGUGAAGUUGACCGCCUGGGGAGUACGGCCGCAAGGUUAAAACUCAAAG
rnacentral:rRNA from 1 species